rnacentral:rRNA from 1 species
UAUUAUACUAAUUAAUAUAUAACAUCUUAGAUUAUUAAUAGAUAUGUUCUUUAAAUUUGAAGAAUUUGGCGGUGGUUUAGUCUUGUUAGAGGAGCCUGUUUUUGAAUCGAUACACCACGUAUUAUCUUACUCAUUUUAUUUAGUUUGUAUACCGUCAUUAUCAGAUAAUCUUAAAAAAGUGAAUUGUUGGAGUUUAAAAAAAUAUAAGCAAAAUUAGAUCAAGGUGCAGCUUAUAAAUGAGUUAAAAUGGGCUACAAUAAAACUUAUUUAUUAUGAAAUAGUAACUAGAAAUUAGAUUAUGAAGGUGGAUUUAAUUGUAAUAGAAGUUUAACAAGCUAAAAAGAUAUAAGCUCUAAGCCAU